AUUGAACGCUGGCGGCAUGCCUUACACAUGCAAGUCGAACGGCAGCGCGGACUUCGGUCUGGCGGCGAGCGGCGAACGGGUGAGUAAUACAUCGGAACGUACCCUGUUGUGGGGGAUAACUAGUCGAAAGAUUAGCUAAUACCGCAUACGACCUGAGGGUGAAAGUGGGGGAACGCAAGGCCUCACGUAGCAGGAGCGGCCGAUGUCUGAUGAGCUAGUUGGUGGGGUAAAGGCCCACCAAGGCGACGAUCAGUAGCUGGUCUGGGAGGACGAUCAGCCACACUGGGACUGAGACACGGCCCAGACUCCUACGGGAGGAAGCAGUGGGGAAUUUUGGACAAUGGGGGCAACCCUGAUCCAGCAAUGCCGCGUGUGUGAAGAAGGCCUUCGGGUUGUAAAGCACUUUUGUCCGGAAAGAAAUCGCGCUGGUUAAUACCUGGCGUGGAUGACGGUACCGGAAGAAUAAGCACCGGCUAACUACGUGCCAGCCGCCGCCGUAA
rnacentral:rRNA from 1 species